UGGCGGCCGUAGCGCGUGGUCCCACCUGACCCCAUGCCGAACUCAGAAGUGAAACGCCGUAGCGCCGAUGGUAGUGUGGGGUCUCCCCAUGCGAGAGUAGGGAACUGCCAGGCA
rnacentral:rRNA from 1 species